CAGGUAUUGCCUUCUGCCCCAUGUGGCCCCUUCCCUUCGAGACUACAAAGGUGUGUGUCAAAGAAGAGGGAGCAGGUAAUGACUGCUGCUCUGUCGUGGAGAAGCAAAGAAGGCCACUGUUCUGGCAUGUCUUGUACACGUUUUCUUUGAUAAGUCAUCAGAUUUUCUUGAUGUCAUUACUUGUUCCUACCAAUGGAUAUGUCUACUGACCGCUUAAUGAGGUUUUGAAUGACAGUCUCUGCAUCCUGAACAAAGGGUUUCAAGGGGAAAAAGAACCCAACCACGAGUGUCAAAUCAAGACAGACAUAAGCUUCUGACCUCUCCCAGCAGCAACAACAAAUGGCAGCAAAAUAGAAACUUCAGAGUGCUUUUUCACCCACUGAUUCCCAUUUCCAGGUAGUCAGGAAAUGGGGGCAAAUGUGGAAAAGAAGGAAAUGAACCCAUUAUGUCUGUGAUAGCUUCCCAGGAUCAAAUGUCCUCCUGCAUGAACUUUUGCAGAACAAGCCCAAAAGGAAGGAGUGGAAGGGAAAGAAGAGUAACAAAUGUGAGAGGAAAAGAAACAGCAGGAAAGCUACAGAGGACACAAGUUGAAAUAGUGUUGCACAGAAAAAAAAAUAUGGUUCUCUGCAACAAAUACAGCAGGAAGCCUAACAAAAAAAACCCAAAAACAAAUACAAUAGCUUAAAUGAGCAUGGCUGCAGUACAGGGACUGUCCAUGACAAAGUGUGGUGGGACAAGUAGAGAAGAUACAAAGACUCAAAAGAAUACUUAAUAUCCUUAAACUUUCUAGUAUUUUUCUUGUUGAUAUGGUAUUGUCAGAAUUUUGAUCUGAAAAGGCUUAUUUUUUCCAUUAUUUAUCUGUUUCAGCUUGAGAGAAUUUUGUUUCACCAGUUGUAAGAGGUGUUUGUAGUGAUAAUCUUUCUGUACCAGCCCAAUAUUGUUACAGUGAUAAUGCCAUUAGGAGCAUCCCCAGUUUUUGGGGGCAUCAUGUGACUCUUUCCAAGGAACAGAGCAGUGGAGGCUGAAGGAGGUUACAUACUGAAUCAUGCACUAUGGGUGUGGAGGAAAUAGUCCCAUGUGUCUUAUUCCCUUUCUGCAGAUCUACCAGAGCCAGGCAGGCCAGCUGGAGGGAUUUUUUCACCUUUUGUAUGCCUUAUUUUAUCCUCCAGCUAAAUACUUCCCUUAAAGCUAAAAUUAUUUUAAAAUCCUCAGGUAGUAAAUGUAACAUAUUCACAUGCUAAACGUAAUUGAAGGCCAUAGUCAGCACCAUUGUAAAAGCCACAGCACUUGAUGACCCUUUUUUAACAAAUGCAUAGCCAUUCCUACUGGAUUCACCCCAGCAAGGCGCUCUCAGAGUGGUGUUUUCCAGAAAUCCGUCCAAUUGGUUGGUAACUGCCUGGGAUGCUGAGUGCUCCCUGCAACCACUUAAUACUGAUGUUAGGAGCAAGAUGCUUAAAAAUGCAUGGCAGAUGGCUCACAGCAAUGAUGUGAGAGGAUUUAUCCUCCAGGAGACAACAGUUUAUUCCUGUUCUUUUGCUGGUGACUUCUGUCAUAUUGAGCAAGACAGCAAAAGCUAGGGCAGAAUGAAAUAUGAUAUCUUUCCCAUGAACAUUUCAAAGCGUGCUUGAAAAGGUUUUUGUUUUGAAAAUGAAUUAUUCAGUUUUGCAAUGUAAGAUGGAGGUAUU
ensembl:lncRNA